UUUGUACCUCUGUGGCACAGGUGGGCAGGGGAGUUUUUAGAGCAUGUUGUGGGGGCCUCAGAAAGAAAAAAGUUGAGAACUCCCAGCCACCUUCUCUUCUGCACAAUUCCUCAAGCUAGUGGUGCCCCCUGGUGGACAUCAAGUUAUUUUUUACAACCCAAAGUUUGUAAACAACAGUCACGUGGACAGGAACCAGACUGAGCUCUGACCUCAGUCUCCUCUUCCUGCCAGAAGGGAAGAGAUCAAAUACAACAAAGGCAAAGGGCGUAAGCAUCUGCAGAGGCCAGAAGCAAGGUGGAAUCUGAGUUCCAAGCAUAAUUAUCACACGCACAAUUGUACUAACUCCCUUGAUGUUGUACAACAAACCUUUGUCCACAGCUUUGGAGUAGGCUGGCUUUAUACCUGGCUGACUCAACAGUAGUCAGUGCCAAAAAAGGAAUAAACUCGUCAAGGUAUCUACCCUUCUUUGGGUUAAGCAAGGAAACCCUUUUAUGUAGAAAGGAUUAUAAGGUUGUCAGGGCUCCUUGUAGUGCAGUAGACAAGGCCUCAGCCCCUCCCCAAAUGCUCUGUCUGCACUGGGUCACCAUGGACUGAAGCAUCUGCAAGCUGCCUCUCUCUUUGCCUCAGUGAGAAAUGGUUACAUUGACAGAGAGAAAGUCAGGAUAACAGUGGCCUUAAGAAACCUGUUAUUUAUUGUGGCUUGUAUUGCAGCUGGAAAACAUGUUUAUUUGCACUCCAUUUGGUUCUGCUUCACUUGUAGUCUGUGCCCUAGCGCAACACUGCAAUUGCUAAAACUACUGGGGGUUUAAAUCCCAAUCAAACUGGGCUGAAAGUUCAACAAUAUUAAGAUAUUGCAACCUAAAUUUUGGGCUGAAGUUCCUAACUUGGUCUCUUAAAAACCAUCCUGAUAACACCUGAAAAAAAUAAUUAAUAACUGGUUGCUCUGAUUUCUUCUGCUUAGAGUAAAAGAUGAAAUAUUUCUCCUAACCAAUGAUCCUCUAAUCUUCUCUACAGGGACCAGAGUGUACAGCCCCCCAGAAUGGAUCCACUAUCACCGGUAUCACGGCAGGUCAGCAGCAGUCUGGUCUCUGGGGGUCCUGCUGUAUGACAUGGUCUGUGGGGAUAUCCCCUUUGAACAUGAUGAGGAGAUUAUUAGGGGCCAGGUCUACUUCCGACAGAGGGUCUCUCCAGAGUGCCAGCACCUCAUUAAAUGGUGUCUUGCCUUGAGGCCCUCCGACAGGCCAUCCUUUGAAGAUCUUCUAAAUCAUUCUUGGAUGCAAGAUGUCCUCUUGCCACAGAAAACAGCAGAGAUCCACCUGCACAGUCUAAUUCAGGAGUCUGGAAAAUAGCAGCUCCUCUCAUCCAUUGGGUGUAAAAAGAAAACUCUCACCAGUGACUGUCUGCCUGUUACAUGGGAACAUUCAUAUCUCAUUCCAGAGCUCAGCUAACUGGAGAAUCUUCUGAGAGGCUGGAGGUUACCAUCCAUCCCAGGUGGACUGGUCUUGAACUCGUUUGGUCCUGCCUUACUUGAUGUCUUGCCAGUAGACUUUUUUGAUGUCUUAUGGGCACAUCUGUGAGUGUCCCUGACCUGCUGAGUCCUGGAAUAUGAACUGAGCGAGGACCAGAGAAUUGGCAAGAACGUUUUGCUUGGGGAAACUGGCUGUGGAGGGGGAGGGAAGGUACUGAUUUGAAUAGCUGUCUUAUUCACUGUGUCACCAUGUUCUGAGUGCCUUCAGUUGCGAUCUGGGCUGUGCUGGGGGAAAUACUUGAAUCUUCCUACACCUCUGCUUCUCCAAGAUUCACCUGGGUUUAUUUUAUAUUCCCCUUCUUAAGGAACAGGUCAGAAGCAGCCACGGGUGAAACCAAUGCACCCUGGCUAGUUGUUUCUGAGGUAUGCUGUUAGCGGGACCUUUCCUGCCUCAGCUCUUUGCCUUGAGCCUCAGAAGCCAGGGCGUCCUCACAGAGGCACAAACAAUGCAACCCAAUAGAGCUGUAAAUGUGUACAGAAUUAUACAGGAGCGAAGCUUGGUGUACAGAGGAUUGUAGUUUAUAAUGGUAACGGUUUUACUCUUUUGUUUUAACUUAUUUUCAGGGGUUUGGGUUGUUAUUUGUUUGUUUGUUCUUUAAGUAAAAUGUCCUAACCUGUAGGAUAACUUAUUUAUUUAUUUAUGAAUCGUGGGUUCAGAGCCCAUGCCUGGCUUCCAUAGCUGCUGAGCUGGUUUCCAGUUGGGGUCCCCUCCCCCCCGACUGCACUCCCUUCUUAGAAUGCUCUGUUAAUGUCUCACCACUGUGUGGAGUGGCCGACCGCUUCCCAGCUGUCUGUAAAUAGUUCCGGCUGCCGGUGUUCCUCUUCCAUGUGUGUGUUCAGUUGUUUUAAAGGCAUUUCCACCGGUAUUUGUCUGGGCUGGGGCGGGACGUCACGUGCGCAUGUGUAUAUAGCACUGGUUUUGCCGAGCUGUCGGGGAAGGUACCCUGGACUCCAACACUGUCAAGCCUGUAUAUGUAAUCAGUGUGUAGUCUGCUGCUUUUGUUAAUAGUUAAUCUUGUACAGGGGAAGUCAGAAAUCCUAUUUUUUUUAUACAUGCAGUUUUAAAUAAAAAUGAAUCACUUGACUUAA